CCUACGGGAGGCAGCAGUGAGGAAUAUUGGUCAAUGGGCUUACGCCUGAACCAGCCAAGUCGCGUGAGGGAAGACUGCCCUAUGGGUUGUAAACCUCUUUUGUCAGGGAGCAACGCCGGCUACGUGUAGCCGGACUGAGAGUACCUGAAGAAAAAGCAUCGGCUAACUCCGUGCCAGCAGCCGCGGUAAUACGGAGGAUGCGAGCGUUAUCCGGAGUUAUUGGGUUUAAAGGGGGCGUAGGCGGAAUGCCAAGUCAGCGGUAAAAUCGCGGGGCUCAACCUCGCUCCGACGUUGAAACUGGCGUUCUUGAGUGGGCGAGAAGUAUGCGGAAGGCGUGGUGUAGCGGUGAAAUGCAUAGAUAUCACGCAGAACUCCGAUUGCGAAGGCAGCAUACCGGCGCCCAACUGACGCUGAAGCACGAAAGCGUGGGUAUCGAACAGGAUUAGAUACCCGAGUAGUC
rnacentral:rRNA from 1 species